rnacentral:rRNA from 1 species
AGUAAUACAUAGGAAUCUGCCCAGUAGCGGGGGACAACUCGGAGAGAUCCGAGCUAAUACCGCAUACGCCCUACGGGGGAAAGCAGGGGAUCUUCGGACCUUGCACUAUUGGAUGAGCCUAUGUCAGAUUAGCUUGUUGGUGGGGUAACGGCCUACCAAGGCGACGAUCUGUAGCUGGUCUGAGAGGACGAUCAGCCACACUGGGACUGAGACACGGCCCAG